rnacentral:rRNA from 1 species
UGGGGAAUAUUGGACAAUGGGCGCAAGCCUGAUCCAGCCAUGCCGCGUGCGUGAAGAAGGCCUUAGGGUUGUAAAGCGCUUUCACCCGUGACGAUGAUGACGGUAGCGGGAGAAGAAGCCCCGGCUAACUCCGUGCCAGCAGCCGCGGUAAUACGGAGGGGGCGAGCGUUGUUCGGAAUUACUGGGCGUAAAGGGCGCGCAGGCGGCGGUUCUAGUCAGGGGUGAAUGGCCUGGGCUCAACCUGGGAACUGGCCUUGAGACUGGAAUGCUUGUGACCGGAAGAGGAUGGUGGAAUUCCCAGUGUAGAGGUGAAAUUCGUAGAUAUUGGGAAGAACACCGGUGGCGAAGGCGGCCAUCUGGUCCGGAUCUGACGCUGAGGCGCGAAAGCGUGGGGAGCAAACAGGAUUAGAUACCCCCGUAGUCC